rnacentral:sRNA from 1 species
AUAUCUCUCUGUACGGGAAGGAUGAGAAGCUUCGACUAAGGUUCGAUUCGAGCGCAACGAGAAAGCGUUGCCGCAGGCA